AACCGGAAUAAUUUAGAAAAAUACAGUGAUAUAGAUUUUUGGUCAUACCGCCCAGCACUAGUCUGAAGGGUUGAGAGACUUUAACUAACUGCAUGUUAUUUCCAGUGAGGUUAAUAGAUGUUUAAAGUGUUGCAUUUCAAAGAGUUUUCAAUGUCACAUUACCUUCAUACAGUAUGUAGUUUAAUCGCAUGCAACUUCAAUUAACAGCUCAAACAUGAAGAACAGCAGAAUUCUGCCUCGGGCUCCGACAGGAACCGAAGAGCUUGCGUUUGGCUUUGAAGACUAAUUGGGUUUGUUACUAAAGUUUUACACCAUGCAAACUAAGUGGAGUUGAAAUCUGCCUGUUUUCUCCUGGUGUGUCCAUGUUCAGAUGAUAUGAAGAUCAUAGCUUUAAUGCUAGUUAGCGGAGUAGAGUGAGUUAUUGAGUGUGUUUCACCCAAACAAUGCUUGAUUUGAACCCAAGCGCUCUGGAUGAGUUUCCUCAAACACGUCCUCGGAGCUCGAAGCGUUGCAUCUCCUGAAGUGAAUCCUGACUCUGGCUGCUCUGUUCGUUAGCCUGUGUGCGCGAGGUAACCUUCCUUUGCUCUCCUGUUCACUUCUCAAACUCAGAUUCAGUUUUUGUUGCUCUGACAGCACAGCGCAGAUCUCACAGUCCUCUCAGAAGCGUCUGCAUGGUGUCGUAGAUCCUCAGACGGACGUCAGACACUCCAGAGAUAAACUCCCACUCAUUUCUCCCCAUGCAUUGCCAACCAUUCUAGAAAGACUUUACACUUAGGCUCUGAUCACCAACACAUUCACUUUCACCAAUGUAGCUCAAUUUGAGAAACGCCAGAUUAGUUCCCAGAGCAAAGACACUGUAAUUAGUUCUGUGUUCAUAUCUGUGAUUCCUGCGGUCGAGUGUUUAAUGUUCGUUCUUUGGUUUUGUUCAGGUUGAGUUCCCGUCGGAAACCGUCGGGGGUUUGAAGAAGGCCGAGGCCUGAUGAACCGUGUUUGUUCCUCUGAAGGGUAAAGCGUGAGAUGAUGGAGGUUCUCGGACAUCAGAUGGUCAUUUUAUGAGCCGCAGCUGUUGAAAACCCUUUAACACCGUUGGUUUUCCUGCUCAAAAAUGACCGGCCUUCUAGAAAUUGAUUGUAAAUGCUGUAUUAUCGGCAAAUACUGGCUGUUUUGUAUCAGCGAGCGCAGGUUUUGUUUUCUCUUCUGGAACUGUUUGAUCGCAGGCCACAGUAACCUUCUUUAGUUAAUGUGCAAUACAUCUAGAGUAUUUAUGAAACUUUGUUCAUGUUAAUAAAAAUCCACCUGUUCUUUGUCAAGGUUAGCUCAGUUUUAUUAAAUGAUCUUAACAGAUUUUAAAAAUGCAUUAGUACAUGUUGAAAUGAACAUUGAUUGAUUAAUGCUUUGGAUUUCAUGUAAACUAAUGUGGCUAACAAAUGAAGUUUUUCUCAAGUUUCACUGAUCUGGUUGUGGAUAAUUUUGACAUUUAUUAAAAUAUGAAAAA